GGAAUAUUGCGCAAUGGAGGAAACUCUGACGCAGUGACGCCGCGUAUAGGAAGAAGGUUUUAGGAUUGUAAACUAUUUUAGACAGGGAAGAAAAAAGACGGUACCUGUAGAAUAAGCUCCGGCUAACUACGUGCCAGCAGCCGCGGUAAUACGUAGGGAGCAAGCGUUAUCCGGAUUUAUUGGGUGUAAAGGGUGCGUAGACGGGAAAGCAAGUUGGUUGUGAAAUCCCUCGGCUUAACUGAGGAACUGCAACCAAAACUACAUUUCUUGAGUGCGGGAGAGGAAAGCGGAAUUCCUAGUGUAGCGGUGAAAUGCGUAGAUAUUAGGAGGAACACCAGUGGCGAAGGCGGCUUUCUGGACCGUAACUGACGUUGAAGCACGAAAGUGUGGGGAGCAAACA
rnacentral:rRNA from 1 species